CCUACGGGAGGCAGCAGUGGGGAAUAUUGGACAAUGGGGGGAACCCUGAUCCAGCCAUGCCGCGUGUGUGAAGAAGGCCCUCGGGUUGUAAAGCACUUUCAGUGAGGAAGAACGCCUGGUGGUUAAUACCCAUCAGGAAAGACAUCACUCACAGAAGAAGCACCGGCUAACUCCGUGCCAGCAGCCGCGGUAAUACGGAGGGUGCGAGCGUUAAUCGGAAUUACUGGGCGUAAAGCGCGCGUAGGUGGCUUGAUAAGCCGGUUGUGAAAGCCCCGGGCUCAACCUGGGAACGGCAUCCGGAACUGUCAAGCUAGAGUGCAGGAGAGGAAGGUGGAAUUCCCGGUGUAGCGGUGAAAUGCGUAGAGAUCGGGAGGAAUACCAGUGGCGAAGGCGGCCUUCUGGACUGAAACUGACACUGAGGUGCGAAAGCGUGGGUAGCAAACAGGAUUAGAUACCCGGGUAGUC
rnacentral:rRNA from 1 species